rnacentral:rRNA from 1 species
CAGUAGCCGCGGGAAUACGAAGGGUGCAAGCGUUAAUCGGAAUUACUGGGCGUAAAGCGUGCGUAGGUGGUGGUUUAAGUCCGUUGUGAAAUUCCUGGGCUUAACCUGGGGGCUGCAUUUGAGACGUCAAGACUAGAGUGUGAGAGAGGGUUGUGGAAUUCCCAGUGUAGAGGUGAAAUUCGUAGAUAUGCGGAGGAACACCGAUGGCGAAGGCAGCCCCCUGGGCCAACACUGACGCUGAGGCACGAAAGCGUGGGGAGCAAACAGGAUUAGAGACCCCGGUAGUCCCUGUCUCUUAUAC